GACGAACGCUGGCGGCGUGCUUAACACAUGCAAGUCGAACGGAAAGGCCCUGCUUUUGUGGGGUGCUCGAGUGGCGAACGGGUGAGUAACACGUGAGUAACCUGCCCUUGACUUUGGGAUAACUUCAGGAAACUGGGGCUAAUACCGGAUAUGAGCUCCUGCUGCAUGGUGGGGGUUGGAAAGUUUCGGCGGUUGGGGAUGGACUCGCGGCUUAUCAGCUUGUUGGUGGGGUAGUGGCUUACCAAGGCUUUGACGGGUAGCCGGCCUGAGAGGGUGACCGGCCACAUUGGGACUGAGAUACGGCCCAGACUCCUACGGGAGGCAGCAGUGGGGAAUAUUGCACAAUGGGCGGAAGCCUGAGGCAGCAACGCCGCGUGCGGGAUGACGGCCUUCGGGUUGUAAGCCGCUUUCGCCUGUGACGAAGCGUGAGUGACGGUAAUGGGUAAAGAAGCACCGGCUAACUACGUG
rnacentral:rRNA from 1 species